rnacentral:rRNA from 1 species
GCAGCACGGGGGCAACCCUGGUGGCGAGUGGCGAACGGGUGAGUAACAUAUCGGAACGUGCCCUGGAGUGGGGGAUAACUAGUCGAAAGAUUAGCUAAUACCGCAUACGAUCUACGGAUGAAAGUGGGGGAUCGCAAGACCUCAUGCUCGUGGAGCGGCCGAUAUCUGAUUAGCUAGUUGGUGGGGUAAAGGCCUACCAAGGCAUCGAUCAGUAGCUGGUCUGAGAGGACGACCAGCCACACUGGGACUGAGACACGGCCCAGACUCCUACGGGAGGCAGCAGUGGGGAAUUUUGGACAAUGGGCGCAAGCCUGAUCCAGCAAUGCCGCGUGAGUGAAGAAGGCCUUCGGGUUGUAAAGCUCUUUUGUCAGGGAAGAAACGGUUCGGGUUAAUACCUUGGGCUAAUGACGGUACCUGAAGAAUAAGCACCGGCUAACUACGUGCCAGCAGCCGCGGUAAUACGUAGGGUGCAAGCGUUAAUCGGAAUUACUGGGCGUAAAGCGUGCGCAGGCGGUUGUGCAAGACAGAUGUGAAAUCCCCGGGCUCAACCUGGGAAUUGCAUUUGUGACUGUACGGCUAGAGUGUGUCAGAGGGGGGUAGAAUUCCACGUGUAGCAGUGAAAUGCGUAGAGAUGUGGAGGAAUACCGAUGGCGAAGGCAGCCCCCUGGGAUAACACUGACGCUCAUGCACGAAAGCGUGGGGAGCAAACAGGAUUAGAUACCCUNNAGUCCACGCCCUANACGAUGUCUACUAGUUGUCGGGUCUUUAUUGACUUGGNAACGCAGCUAACGCGUGAAGUAGACCGCCUGGGGAGUANGGUCGCAAGAUUAAAACUCAAAGGAAUUGANGGGGACCCGCACAAGCGGUGG